UAAGCAUCCCGCCUGGGGAGUACGCUCGCAAGGUUAUAACUCUAACGAAUUGACGGGUACCCGCACAAGCAGCGGAGCGUGUGGUUUAAUUCGAUGCUACACGAAGAACCUUACCUGGGAUUGACAUAUGGGUGGUAGUGAUCCGAAAGGAGAGCGACCCUUCGGGGAGCCUAUACAGGUGCUGCAUGGCUGUCGUCAGCUCGUGCCGUGAGGUGUCGGGUUAAGUCCCGUAACGAGCGCAACCCCUGUCCUUAGUUACAAGGGUCUAAGGGGACUGCCGGCGGGAAGCCGGAGGAAGGUGGGGAUGACGUCAAGUCAGCAUGGCCCUGAUAUCCAGGGCGACACACACGCUACAAAGGUCGGUACAGAGGGCAGCGAAGCCGCGAGGUGGAGCGAAACCCAGAAAGCCGGUCGUAGUUCGGAUUGCAGGCUGCAACUCGCCUGCAUGAAGUUGGAGUUGCUAGUAACCGCAGGUCAGCCAUACUCCGGUGAUACGUUCCCGGGUCUUGUACACACCGCCCGUCACGUCAUGGGAGUCGGUAACGCCUGAAGGCGGUAGUCUGACCGGAAGGAAGACGCUGUCGAGG
rnacentral:rRNA from 1 species